CCCAAAGCACGAGCUGCAAGGGAAAAGCCCGGAGUGGCGGAUCCCUAAGACUGGCUGAGGAUUUAGCACGUAUACAGUCUCGGUGGGGCGUGCGAGACCCCCAGGCUGCCGCAGCGCACACUGUGAGCCCACGCGUGACCGUCAGCCUGCAUGAGUCAGCUUCCCCACCCCCACCCUGCCAGUGUGUUGCCUUGGUUACGGGACUAGCACCAAGGGUGUGGAGGCGGGGUCGGAGGCGGGGCCUAUGGCGACCAGUAAUCCAGGUUUCUCAACCUCAGCCCAGUUGCCAUUUCAUCCUUAUUGGACCCAUCCAAAGGCAGCCCGACCACUUCAUCUGGAAUCUGGAAGAAGCUGGGUCUAGCACUUGGAAGGCAGAGGAAGAAGGAUCUGAGUUCAAGGCCAGCCUGGUCUACAGAGCAAGUUUCAGGACAGCCAGGGCUACACAGAGAAACCCUGUCUCGAAAACACCAAAAGGAAAAACCAGUCUGGAAGAAAAGCUGGCUUACUAAACUAGGGCCAGUAGUGUGGGUUUUAAAUAUAUACAACCAUGGCUUGCUUAACCUGCUUCCAUCUAGAACCCAGGACUACCUGCCCAAGGAUGGCACUGCUGCAAUGGGCUCCCCACCCCGACCCCACAUCAGUAACUAAGAAAAUGCCUUACAGCCAGAUCUUACGGUGGCGUUUUCUCAAUGAAGGUUCACUCCUUUCAGAUAA